CAGUCGCCACGGUAAUACAGAGGGUGCGAGCGUUAAUCGGAUUUACUGGGCGUAAAGCGUGCGUAGGCGGCUUUUUAAGUCGGAUGUGAAAUCCCUGAGCUUAACUUAGGAAUUGCAUUCGAUACUGGGAAGCUAGAGUAUGGGAGAGGAUGGUAGAAUUCCAGGUGUAGCGGUGAAAUGCGUAGAGAUCUGGAGGAAUACCGAUGGCGAAGGCAGCCAUCUGGCCUAAUACUGACGCUGAGGUACGAAAGCAUGGGGAGCAAACAGGAUUAGAUACCCCCGUAGUCCCAGUCUCUUAUAC
rnacentral:rRNA from 1 species